CACGUAGGGGGCAAGCGUUGUUCGGAAUUACUGGGCGUAAAGGGCUCGUAGGCGGCCAACUAAGUCAGACGUGAAAUCCCUCGGCUUAACCGGGGAACUGCCUCUGAUACUGGAUGGCUUGAGAUUGGGAGAGGGAUGCGGAAUUCCAGGUGUAGCGGUGAAAUGCGUAGAUAUCUGGAGGAACACCGGUGGCGAAGGCGGCAGCCUGGACCAACACUGACGCUGAGGAGCGAAAGCCAGGGGAGCAAACGGG
rnacentral:rRNA from 1 species